rnacentral:rRNA from 1 species
GACAGGAGGUGCAACGUUGUUCGGAAUUACUGGGCGUAAAGCGAGUGUAGGCGGUGUGGUAAGUCGGAUGUGAAAGCCCGGGCUCAACCCGGGAAGUGCACUCGAUACUGCCACGCUAGAGUAUCGGAGAGGUUGGUGGAAUUCUCGGUGUAGAGGUGAAAUUCGUAGAUAUCGAGAGGAACACCGGUGGCGAAGGCGGCCAACUGGACGAAUACUGACGCUGAGACUCGAAAGCGUGGGGAGCAAACAGG